UACGGAGGAUGCAAGCGUUAUCCGGAAUCAUUGGGUUUAAAGGGUCCGUAGGCGGACAAUUAAGUCAGGGGUGAAAGUCUGCAGCUCAACUGUAGGACUGCCCUUGAUACUGGUUGUCUUGAAUCGUUGUGAAGUGAUUAGAAUGAGCAGUGUAGCGGUGAAAUGCAUAGAUAUUGCUCAGAAUACCAAUUGCGAAGGCAGAUCACUAACAACGUAUUGACGCUGAGGGACGAAAGCGUGGGGAGCGAACAGGAUUAGAUACCCUGGUAGUCCACGCCGUAAACGAUGGAUACUAGCUGUCCGACCUUCGGGUUGGGUGGCCAAGCGAAAGUGAUAAGUAUCCCACCUGGGGAGUACGUUCGCAAGAAUGAAACUCAAAGGAAUUGACGGGGGCCCGCACAAGCGGUGGAGCAUGUGGUUUAAUUCGAUGAUACGCGAGGAACCUUACCAGGGCUUAAAUGUAGUCUGACAGGGGUGGAAACACCUUUUCCUUCGGGCAGAUUACAAGGUGCUGCAUGGUUGUCGUCAGCUCGUGCCGUGAGGUGUCAGGUUAAGUCCUAUAACGAGCGCAACCCCUGCCGUUAGUUGCCAGCAUGUAAAGAUGGGAACUCUAACGGGACUGCCGGUGCAAACCGUGAGGAAGGUGGGGAUGACGUCAAAUCAUCACGGCCCUUACGUCCUGGGCUACACACGUGCUACAAUGGCCGGUACAGAGGGCAGCCACACCGCAAGGUGGAGCGAAUCCUUAAAACCGGUCUCAGUUCGGAUCGGGGUCUGCAACUCGGCCCCGUGAAGCUGGAAUCGCUAGUAAUCGGAUAUCAGCCAUGAUCCGGUGAAUACGUUCCCGGGCCU
rnacentral:rRNA from 1 species